UUUGUACUCCCUCCAUUCCACAAUACAUGCCUUCUAUUUGUCAAAAUAUAGAUGUAUCUAUACAUGUUUUAGUAUAUAGGUACAUCCAUUUUUGGACAAAUGGAAGUCAAGUAUUUUGGAAUGGAGGGAGUACACA
rnacentral:pre_miRNA from 1 species